CAGGAGAUAGUUUUUAAAAAUAUUAAUUUUGGAGAUUAAAGUUAGAGGUAACUCUUUUCCUGA
rnacentral:tRNA from 1 species